rnacentral:rRNA from 1 species
UACGUAGGGACCGAGCGUUGUCCGGAAUCAUUGGGCGUAAAGAGCGUGUAGGCGGCCACUUAAGUCCUGCGUGAAAUCUUGCGGCUCAACCGCAAGCGGUCGUGGGAAACUGGGUGGCUAGAGUGCGGGAGAGGAGAGUGGAAUUCCUGGUGUAGCGGUGGAAUGCGCAGAUAUCGGGAAGAACACCAGUGGCGAAGGCGGCUGCCUGGCCUGUAACUGACGCUGAGACGCGAAAGCGUGGGGAGCGAACCGG